UUAAGCGACUAAGCGUACACGGUGGAUGCCCUGGCAGUCAGAGGCGAUGAAGGACGUGCUAAUCUGCGAUAAGCGUCGGUAAGGUGAUAUGAACCGUUAUAACCGGCGAUUUCCGAAUGGGGAAACCCAGUGUGAUUCGUCACACUAUCAUUAACUGAAUCCAUAGGUUAAUGAGGCGAACCGGGGGAACUGAAACAUCUAAGUACCCCGAGGAAAAGAAAUCAACCGAGAUUCCCCCAGUAGCGGCGAGCGAACGGGGAGCAGCCCAGAGCCUGAAUCAGUGUGUGUGUUAGUGGAAGCGUCUGGAAAGGCGUGCGAUACAGGGUGACAGCCCCGUACACAAAAAUGCACAUAUUGUGAGCUCGAUGAGUAGGGCGGGACACGUGGUAUCCUGUCUGAAUAUGGGGGGACCAUCCUCCAAGGCUAAAUACUCCUGACUGACCGAUAGUGAACCAGUACCGUGAGGGAAAGGCGAAAAGAACCCCGGCGAGGGGAGUGAAAAAGAACCUGAAACCGUGUACGUACAAGCAGUGGGAGCACAGAGCAAUCUGUGUGACUGCGUACCUUUUGUAUAAUGGGUCAGCGACUUAUAUUCUGUAGCAAGGUUAACCGAAUAGGGGAGCCGAAGGGAAACCGAGUCUUAACUGGGCGUUAAGUUGCAGGGUAUAGACCCGAAACCCGGUGAUCUAGCCAUGGGCAGGUUGAAGGUUGGGUAACACUAACUGGAGGACCGAACCGACUAAUGUUGAAAAAUUAGCGGAUGACUUGUGGCUGGGGGUGAAAGGCCAAUCAAACCGGGAGAUAGCUGGUUCUCCCCGAAAGCUAUUUAGGUAGCGCCUCGUGAAUUCAUCUCCGGGGGUAGAGCACUGUUUCGGCAAGGGGGUCAUCCCGACUUACCAACCCGAUGCAAACUGCGAAUACCGGAGAAUGUUAUCACGGGAGACACACGGCGGGUGCUAACGUCCGUCGUGAAGAGGGAAACAACCCAGACCGCCAGCUAAGGUCCCAAAGUCAUGGUUAAGUGGGAAACGAUGUGGGAAGGCCCAGACAGCCAGGAUGUUGGCUUAGAAGCAGCCAUCAUUUAAAGAAAGCGUAAUAGCUCACUGGUCGAGUCGGCCUGCGCGGAAGAUGUAACGGGGCUAAACCAUGCACCGAAGCUGCGGCAGCGACACUAUGUGUUGUUGGGUAGGGGAGCGUUCUGUAAGCCUGUGAAGGUGUGCUGUGAGGCAUGCUGGAGGUAUCAGAAGUGCGAAUGCUGACAUAAGUAACGAUAAAGCGGGUGAAAAGCCCGCUCGCCGGAAGACCAAGGGUUCCUGUCCAACGUUAAUCGGGGCAGGGUGAGUCGACCCCUAAGGCGAGGCCGAAAGGCGUAGUCGAUGGGAAACAGGUUAAUAUUCCUGUACUUGGUGUUACUGCGAAGGGGGGACGGAGAAGGCUAUGUUGGCCGGGCGACGGUUGUCCCGGUUUAAGCGUGUAGGCUGGUUUUCCAGGCAAAUCCGGAAAAUCAAGGCUGAGGCGUGAUGACGAGGCACUACGGUGCUGAAGCAACAAAUGCCCUGCUUCCAGGAAAAGCCUCUAAGCAUCAGGUAACAUCAAAUCGUACCCCAAACCGACACAGGUGGUCAGGUAGAGAAUACCAAGGCGCUUGAGAGAACUCGGGUGAAGGAACUAGGCAAAAUGGUGCCGUAACUUCGGGAGAAGGCACGCUGAUAUGUAGGUGAAGUCCCUCGCGGAUGGAGCUGAAAUCAGUCGAAGAUACCAGCUGGCUGCAACUGUUUAUUAAAAACACAGCACUGUGCAAACACGAAAGUGGACGUAUACGGUGUGACGCCUGCCCGGUGCCGGAAGGUUAAUUGAUGGGGUUAGCGCAAGCGAAGCUCUUGAUCGAAGCCCCGGUAAACGGCGGCCGUAACUAUAACGGUCCUAAGGUAGCGAAAUUCCUUGUCGGGUAAGUUCCGACCUGCACGAAUGGCGUAAUGAUGGCCAGGCUGUCUCCACCCGAGACUCAGUGAAAUUGAACUCGCUGUGAAGAUGCAGUGUACCCGCGGCAAGACGGAAAGACCCCGUGAACCUUUACUAUAGCUUGACACUGAACAUUGAGCCUUGAUGUGUAGGAUAGGUGGGAGGCUUUGAAGUGUGGACGCCAGUCUGCAUGGAGCCGACCUUGAAAUACCACCCUUUAAUGUUUGAUGUUCUAACGUUGACCCGUAAUCCGGGUUGCGGACAGUGUCUGGUGGGUAGUUUGACUGGGGCGGUCUCCUCCUAAAGAGUAACGGAGGAGCACGAAGGUUGGCUAAUCCUGGUCGGACAUCAGGAGGUUAGUGCAAUGGCAUAAGCCAGCUUGACUGCGAGCGUGACGGCGCGAGCAGGUGCGAAAGCAGGUCAUAGUGAUCCGGUGGUUCUGAAUGGAAGGGCCAUCGCUCAACGGAUAAAAGGUACUCCGGGGAUAACAGGCUGAUACCGCCCAAGAGUUCAUAUCGACGGCGGUGUUUGGCACCUCGAUGUCGGCUCAUCACAUCCUGGGGCUGAAGUAGGUCCCAAGGGUAUGGCUGUUCGCCAUUUAAAGUGGUACGCGAGCUGGGUUUAGAACGUCGUGAGACAGUUCGGUCCCUAUCUGCCGUGGGCGCUGGAGAACUGAGGGGGGCUGCUCCUAGUACGAGAGGACCGGAGUGGACGCAUCACUGGUGUUCGGGUUGUCAUGCCAAUGGCACUGCCCGGUAGCUAAAUGCGGAAGAGAUAAGUGCUGAAAGCAUCUAAGCACGAAACUUGCCCCGAGAUGAGUUCUCCCUGACCCUUUAAGGGUCCUGAAGGAACGUUGAAGACGACGACGUUGAUAGGCCGGGUGUGUAAGCGCAGCGAUGCGUUGAGCUAACCGGUACUAAUGAACCGUGAGGCUUAACCUU
rnacentral:rRNA from 1 species